rnacentral:rRNA from 1 species
CGCGGCCUAUCAGCUUGUUGGUGAGGUAACGGCUCACCAAGGCGACGACGGGUAGCCGGCCUGAGAGGGCGACCGGCCACACUGGGACUGAGACACGGCCCAGACUCCUACGGGAGGCGGCAGUGGGGAAUAUUGCACAAUGGGCGAAAGCCUGAUGCAGCGACGCCGCGUGAGGGAUGACGGCCUUCGGGUUGUAAACCUCUUUCAGCAGGGAAGAAGCGAAAGUGACGGUACCUGCAGAAGAAGCGCCGGCUAACUACGUGCCAGCAGCCGCGGUAAUACGUAGGGCGCGAGCGUUGUCCGGAAUUAUUGGGCGUAAAGAGCUCGUAGGCGGUCUGUCGCGUCGGAUGUGAAAGCCCGGGGCUUAACCCCGGGUCUGCAUUCGAUACGGGCAGACUAGAGUGUGGUAGGGGAGAUCGGAAUUCCUGGUGUAGCGGUGAAAUGCGCAGAUAUCAGGAGGAACACCGGUGGCGAAGGCGGAUCUCUGGGCCAUUACUGACGCUGAGGAGCGAAAGCGUGGGGAGCGAACAGGAUUAGAUACCCUGGUAGUCCACGCCGUAAACGGUGGGAACUAGGUGUUGGCGACAUUCCACGUCGUCGGUGCCGCAGCUAACGCAUUAAGUUCCCCGCCUGGGGAGUACGG